UGCAUCAUGUUUUCUUCUGGAAGUUAUAUAUAUAUAUAUGAAAUCAUGGCCCCUAAAUAUGAAUGUAAGUAUUAGGGAUUUUUUUGCUAUUGUUGCAGAGGAGGGUCUGCGACUGUUUGUUGGGCCUGGAGGCAGCACUGCACUGGGCUCUCAGCACACCAGGGUUGGUGCAGGGGCUUUUGAACAGGUGGUUAUAAAACGCUAGACUGAAUGUCCGUGGGGGGACGUGAUGUAAUAUCCUGUGUCAAAUGAGAGGACAGCAGUUGUCUUCUAUCACAAGCAGCAGUUCUAUGCUGGGCUCGUGAUACAUUCAUGGGCUCUAGGAAUUUGUGGAAUCACUGCUCUCCCUAGUGGUAAAGCUCUGAAGACAGACAGAAGCUUUGCUUUAGCUCAAAGUAACAGGAAAUACUUGGAUUGGUAUUAUUUUACCAAAAAUAGAUGGUUAUUGUUCUCACAGACAUUUAAAAAAAACAUGCUUGGAACCACUGGUGGAACUGAAAAGGCGUGUUACAGAUUAAGGACUAUUUUUAAUAUAGAAAUUUAAAUCCACUGACAUGGACUGAUGCACUUUGGAUUGUCUGAUGUUUACUUGGUUGGAUGCUGCUAAUUUGAGGGGAGCGGGGAGGGGGGGAUCAAGUACCAAUCAUACUAAUUUAACGUAUACCACUGAUUUCAUCAUAUUUUGUCAUUUUGUGAGGCCAUAAAGGUAGUCUAAUUGUUACAAAUGUGUUGAUUUAAAAGAAAACUGUAUAAACAGUAAACAGGUGACAGAUGGUCUGUACCGUAGGUGGCUGUUGCUUGAACACCCGGUCGAAGUGACCCUCAAACUAGUGAGUUUUCUAAGAUCCCAGUUAGUGCACCGUUUUGUCAGCAUAAACAAGACUCAACCACAAGUUGCACAGGGAUGGACACUGCAAAUAGUGGACUGUUUGUUAAAAUGGCAUAAUCCAAAUUCUAUUUACAGGCAUUCUUUUUCAGGAAAAAUGCAGAAGACCUGAGCCGUUCAGGAUCCAUGUAAUGUUUUUUUUUUGUUUUUUUGGAAAAGGGUUUCUAAAAGAGGGAGAUUUUAUACAAUUUUAUUACUGCUAAAAUUUGUUUGAAAGAACAUGCCAAUUUUAAAAGCUAAUAAAAAGGGCUGUUUAUCAGAUUUCAUAUUGUAUAUUACAACUGUAAUAUUUUUAAGAAUGUAUAUAAGGAAAAAAACAUUAAUUUAUGUGUUCAGGCUUUCUAAUAGUGACAAUUGUCAAACUACAGGAAAAACUAAAGGAGUAAAAGAAAUAAAGAUGUAUGAUAUAUCUGAUGUUUCAAAGCAUACAUGUCAUGAAGUAUAUACCUGAAUACUUUAAGACAAAAUGCAAUAUAUGCACUUCACUGUAAUAUGUUACAUUUUAAGAAUACAUUAGAGAUUUUGUUUUGAAAAAAAUAAACUUAUAUAAUU